rnacentral:rRNA from 1 species
GAUGAACGCUGGCGGCGUGCCUAAUACAUGCAAGUCGAGCGGACGGACGUGAUUCUUGCUUCGCUGAUGUUAGCGGCGCACGGGCGAGUAACACGUGGAUAACCUACCUAUAAGACUGGGGUAACUUCGGGAAACCGGAGCUAAUACCGGAUAAUAGUUUGAACCGCAGGGUUCAAAAGUGAAAGACGGUCUAGCUGUCACUUAUAGAUGGAUCCGCGCUGCAUUAGCUAGUUGGUAAGGUAACGGCUUACCAAGGCAACGAGGCAUAGCCGACCUGAGAGGGUGAUCGGACACACUGGAACUGAGACACGGUCCAGACUCCUACGGGAGGCCGCAGUAGGGAAUCUUCCGCGAUGGGCGAAAGCCUGACGGAGCAACGCCGCGUGAGUGAUGAAGGUCUUCGGAUCGUAAAACUCUGUUAUUAGGGAAGAACAUAUGUGUAAGUAACUGAGCACAUCUUGACGGUACCUAAUCAGAAAGCCACGGCUAACUACGUG